GUAGGGAAUAUUGCGCAAUGGACGAAAGUCUGACGCAGCGACGCCGCGUGAGUGAUGAAGGCCUUAGGGUCGUAAAGCUCUGUUGAAUGGGAAGAAAAAAAUGACGGUACCAUUCGAGGAAGGACCGGCUAACUUCGUGCCAGCAGCCGCGGUAAUACGAGGGGUCCUAGCGUUGUUCGGAAUCAUUGGGCGUAAAUGGUGUGUAGGUGGCCAUGUAAGUCAGGUGUGAAAGCCCCGGGCUCAACCCGGGAAGUGCACUUGAUACUGCGUGGCUUGAGUACCGAAGAGGGUAGUGGAAUUCCAGGUGUAGUGGUGAAAUACGUAGAUAUCUGGAGGAACACCGGUGGCGAAGGCGGCUACCUGGUCGAGUACUGACACUGAGACACGAAAGCAUGGGGAUCAAACAGGAUUAGAUACCCCAGUAGUCC
rnacentral:rRNA from 1 species